GGGGCNUGCUAAUACAUGCAGUCGAGCGAGCUCUGGUAUUGAUUGGUGCUUGCAUCAUGAUUUACAUUUGAGUGAGUGGCGAACUGGUGAGUAACACGUGGGAAACCUGCCCAGAAGCGGGGGAUAACACCUGGAAACAGAUGCUAAUACCGCAUAACAACUUGGACCGCGUGGUCCGAGCUUGAAAGAUGGCUUCGGCUAUCACUUUUGGAUGGUCCCGCGGCGUAUUAGCUACAUGGUGGGGUAACGGCUCACCAUGGCAAUGAUACGUAUCCGACCUGAGAGGGUAAUCGGCCACAUUGGGACUGAGACACGGCCCAAACUCCUACGGGAGGCAGCAUGAAGGAAUCUUCCACAAUGGACGAAAGUCUGAUGGAGCAACGCCGCGUGAGUGAAGAAGGGUUUCGGCUCGUAAAACUCUGUUGUUAAAGAAGAACAUAUCUGAUAGUAACUGUUCAGGUAUUGACGGUAUUUAACCAGAAAGCCACGGCUAACUACGUGCCAGCAGCCGCGGUAAUACGUAGGUGGCAAGCGUUGUCCGGAUUUAUUGGGCGUAAAGCGAGCGCAGGCGGUUUUUUAAGUCUGAUGUGAAAGCCUUCGGCUCAACCGAAGAAGUGCAUCGGAGACUGGGAAACUUGAGUGCAUCACGAGGACAGUGGAACUCCGUGUGUAGCUGUGAAAUGACGUACAUAUAUGGAAGAACAUCUCUGGCCAAUGCGGCUGUCUGAUCUGUAACUGACGCUGAAGCUCGAAAGAUGGGUAGCCAAGCAGGAUUAGAUACCCUGCUAGUCCAUACUCGUAGACGAUGGAAUGCUCAGCUGCUUGGAGGCUUUCCGCCCUUCANGCUGCAGCUACNGAUUAANNUUUCCGCCUGGGGNNACNGCCCGCAAGUCUGAAANUCCNANGACAUUGACGGGGGACCCGNCAAUCGNNGGANCAUGNNCGCUUAAAUCCNAGCUACGCNNAGAACCUUAC
rnacentral:rRNA from 1 species